UGAAAUCUCGACUCUCCCCUUCGAAACUGCGUCUGAAACUGCUAGUCUAGAGUGUCGGAGGGGGAAGGGGAAUUUCACGUGUAGGGGUAAAAUCCGUAGAGAUGUGAAGGAACACCGGGGGCGAAGGCGCCUUCCUGGACGACUACUGACGCUGAGGCGCGAAAGCGUGGGGAGCAAACAGGAUUAGAUACCCUGGUAGUCCACGCCGUAAACGAUGAACACUAGUUAUUGGGGGUAUUGACUCCCUCAGUGACGCAGCUAACGCAUUAAG
rnacentral:rRNA from 1 species